CUGGACUUUACACAAUAAAUCUGAUCUAACUUCCACAUGUGAGUGCUCCGAAUAUUUUGAAAACAUCUGUCAGCUUUCCUGCCGGCUAAAUAUCCUUUUUUUUUUUUUUUUAAUGGAAAGGACAGCUCCAAGUUCCCUCAUCAACCCUAGUCUGAUUUUCCACGUUCUUCCUCUAGCAUGCUGCUGGGAACAAGACGCAGUCCUGAAAGGGUUCUACAAGCACAUAGAAAGGGUCGUCCUCGUCCAGACUGUGCAUUUAUUGAUGCAGCCUCGGAUGGAGUUUAUUUUCUGGCAGCCAAGGUUAUCUGGUGAUAUUUGGGGGAGUUCAAUAACCUGGAAGUCCCACCGAGACCUUAUUGAAGAUCCCCUUUGUGCCAAAGCCUGAGACCCUCAAUUCAGAAAUGGGGAGCCACCGUGGCCUGCAAUGAUGAGGGGUACAACUGGAACAAAUUCAAACUGAAGCAGAUGCGAGAAGGUUAUCCCUUCCAGAGAUUCAUCUGCAUCACCCAGAGAAAUGUGGAGAGUGUAGGGAAUCUUCUAGAUUUACUCGAUCAGAAGAGAAGAUGUUUGGGUCCCCAUGACACCAAUGGUACUCAUAGCCCCAACACGGCUGACUGCCCCAGAGAGGAUUUUGCCUUGGAAAGAUGUUCUCAAGUGUCAGCUUCUCCUACACGAAAGGCCAGGGAGUCGUAUGAGAGGCAGAAGUGACAUUCACCCCUUGAUACUGGACCCCUGAUUCCUGUCUUCAUGAUCGCACCCUAUGGAUCUGUUCCUGAUCAUAGACCUCAUUUGCGGUGGUUCGUCUAGACACUAACCUUCCAGUUUUCCUUAAUGUUUCUUCACCCAGCCUGGGUCUCCAGCACUGCCUCCUGCAUCCAAGUCAGGUGUGCUCUUCUGGAUCCUUCUCUGACCUAUCAUUUUGACAUGGGACACUCACUCGACUGUCUUCAAGGAAUGAAUCCAGUAGGAGACCGGUCUGCACCCCAUUAAGUCGAACUCAAGAUCACACCUCCUGGAGAACUCAGCUGCCCCUUCAGGGGAGCAGGCAAGCGACCCUGACCCUGCAGAGAGAUCCAAAGGAUGGGAAACCAAGACCUCCUGUCAACAGCUGUGCAAGUGAGCUGCCUCAGAAGUGGAUCUUCCAACUAAAAUCUAGCCUUUGCAUCACUGCAGCUCUGGCCAACAUCCUCGCUGCAACUGCUUGGGAAAUGCUGACGCACCCAGGCCAGACAGCUGUCAAAUUUCUGACCUGCAAAAACUCUGAAAUAAUAAGUGGGAUAACUGACUAGGUGGCAAUAAGUAAUUAACACAAAGGUAGAAGCAAAUCAGGUGGAUAGCACUUCCCUCCAUCGAAGGGCCGAGAUGGUGACAGAAUUUGGGCUGCAACGAACAGGAUUCUUCUAGUUAGUAAUUUGGCCAAGAAGGGUGAACAACAAUUAAAUAAGGCAGUAAAGUACAAAGAACCCUGAACAUGAUCCAGCUCACCUGAUCACUAAUCGCUCUCCACAAAGAAAGAUUUAAUGCUUCUUAAACGUUUGAAUCCAAGGCUCUCGCAUGUAUAUUCUUCUGGCUUAACGACAGCACCGUGACAGGCUGAUUAAA